rnacentral:snoRNA from 1 species
AAUACAUGGUGAUGGCAUCUUCUCAAAAGGUCCUUCUAUCUCUCCCAUGCAUCAUAGAGUGUGUCUAAAACCAUAUGUACAAAAGAAGAGAUAUCAUUACGUAAUU